AUGGAGCUAAAUUGUAAGCUAGCUGAUGACAAGUUCUCAGAAGAAGUAAAGAGGCGAACAACCAUGUUUGAUGGUUCAAUAAACACAAUGGUUGCAAACCAUAGAGAAAUUCAGAAGACAACAAAACUUCUUACCUUGCAAUACUUACACAACCGCCUCAUUGAUCAUGGUGUUGGAAAGCACAUGCCAGGCUUAGAAAAACACCUCAACAUGAUAAAUGUCCUACUUUCAGGUGGCACUGUAGGUGGAGCGCAAGGGGCUAGUUCAAGUUCAGCGCCGUUGAUUCCAAGAGUGCUUGAUGGAUUACUUGGAACUAAAUCAUCAUUUGGUGGCCCUAACUGGAAUGGUGUCGAGCAUAAUAUUAGAGCACACCAUUAA
rnacentral:rRNA from 1 species